rnacentral:SRP_RNA from 1 species
CGACGUAAUCCCGCCAACCCCGCCAGGUCCGGAAGGAAGCAACGGUAACGGGCUAGUACGGGCGCAGUAGGUAACCCGGUACUU